CAACCUUUUGCACUGCAGAUUAAUGUUCACAUCUGCUGCACUCAGAAUAGAGGCCUGUUGUAUUCUCAUGCACGGACACAUAUACAACAUUUCACUUAGAUUUUCACUAUGAUGCUUUCUUAAAAUCAAUGUUAGCAGGAUCUAAUUCCCAGAGAGAACACAUGCAGUCUCAUGAAACAUGUCCAAGGAAAACAACCGCCCCUGUGACCUGCGGGGACUGUCAGUGUGGGCCCCUAAAUCCUCAAGGGAGAUCCCAUGGGUCAGACAGAUGCCUCUCCGGAACUUCAGAGCUGUGGAGUGGAAGUGAUGAAAGCCACAAGCCGGGUCCCACUGCAAGACCCCAGCUCCUCGUCUGCCAGCGCAAACUCCCUCAUUUAGAAGCACAUCCUGGAACUGGGGCUGCUUUUUAAUUAAAGCCUUGGUGGAUUGGGCGAGACCCAGUAGAGGUUGCGAGGGAAACUUUAAAGUUGCACUUGACAGGUAUAUUUAAGUUCACCAAGUUUGACCAGAUGGAACAUGUAUAUUGUAUAAGUCUUUGAAUAUGAUGGUGUUGGGGUGGAAAGAAAUAUAUCAAACAAGCAAAAAGAAAAAAAAUCAUGGAGGGGGGAAAAAGGAAAAAAGGAAGAGUGGAAGGGUGGGUGCUAGUUGAGGGAUACAGACAUGGGGAGCGUAUAGGGAGCCCAGAGCAACUAGCAUGGAGCAAGCAGAGCACAGCCUUCUGGGUGAAUCUUAGAUGUUGCGGCAAGGAGCAUCUUAGGAAUUAAUUCACUAAGAGCAGCAGUCUUUAUCUGGCGUCAGAUAAAAUAAGACAUUUGGAAGACUUAAUUGUUAAUAUUCAUCAAUAUGUCUAAUUAUGCAGAGAAAAGUGAAAAAUGUAUUACGAGCUUCUUCGCAGAUGAAUGGAUGCGUCCCUCAGAGAAGACACUUCUAACGUGUCUUUUUAUGAUUCAUUAAUCCAUCUUCACUAAUCAGCCGCAUCACAACAUCGGACAAACAAACACUGCUAAGUCAACUGAUCAAAAAGAUCCCAGCAUGAAGUAUUGAGCUGCACUCCCUUUGCGAAAUCAUCUUUGGGAGGCACAAACAUUCAGUUGCUGUGCUAUGGAGACAACCUUUUUACCCCCACCCCCUGCCAUUUGUGAAUGUUCUUCAUCCAAAAUGAAAAGUUUUCAAAGUGUCACAGUCUCUCAGCAUGAACUAUUUGUCUAACGGAAACUAUAGCACUAGAGGAAAGUAUGAAGUAUGUGAACUGACUGCCUAUAAUACACAGAGUUUGAAAUGUAAUUUGUACAUUUCUCACUGUGUGCAGUAUUUGAUUUUAUACACUGACUGAGACUGAUAAUAAAUGAGUACAAACAAUCCACAGUGUGUUUUGUCCAUUUUAGCCUUAAGAGUGUGGGGAGACCAAAGAGCUUUGUAUUUGCUCCCUCUAGUGAAUAAUUUUGGAAAUUACAAAACUGGACACUUGAUCAUAAAAGAAGAUCAUACACAGUCUUCAGUCACAGUCUUCUCCUCCAUAUAUCAGCAACAACUAAAAAAAGCCAGAUAUACAAUAUUACACUAUAUUCUCUCAAUAUGAGAAACCAUUUAUAAGUUUCAAAAACCAUUUAGCUGGAAAAAAUCAUAAUUCCUCAGAGCCCAGUUGGUCAGCUUGACUAUUUCCCAACACCCAGCAAUUCUUACCCUUUGGCCAUUACCCAGCACUUACACUUUGAUUUCAUCAUCUUACUGGACUUAUGUAAUUGGGAAAUUUCAAACUGUUGAGGAAGUACUUUUCACAUCCAAUAUAUCCUAUUGACAUGGAAUUUCUGUAAACCUGAAUCCUCCAAUGAAUCUUUUAUUUUAUAUUUUGGUUUUAAAUGUUAUAUUGUGUGUAAUGCUGAGCAAUAUGGUGAGACUAAUGCAGGGCAGUUAUGAUGCUAAUCUACCUGUUCUAAUAAUAAAAAACUGA